CCUCAACAUUCUUUAUUAGCGUUGUUAUCAUCAAAAACAAACAUUCAUUGAGGACCAGCUAUCGCAAGCAAGACUGGAUUCCGAGGAUUCAGAUAAGGACAUGAGGGGCCAGUUUACCUCUCUAGUCGGAUCUGCGGAGAUGCCCUUGAGGAUGUGCCUGUGUGGCAGGGAAGGCUGGAGAGAUGAGGAGAUGCACACACAGGGCUCUGUGGGGGCCUGAAACCAGAGAGAGCUGCGCUGAGAUGCUCAGCAUCCCUGGAGAUGAGGCUGUGCCCUAAAUAUACCCUUAGGAGAAUUACAGAGGGAACCAGUAUGUGCAAGUUUGCACCUUCCCUCCAGAGUGAAGGCUGGAAACUGGAGACCACAAGCCAGACUUGGUUGUAGAGGGAGACAUCUUGGUUAGCACGGUGCCGUGAGCAACUUGAAUGUCACUCCAGUCUGUCGUCAGCCCAUGUUUGUCAGAGUCUGGCUCAGUGGGCCCCACUCAGGCCCACUCACAGCCUGGAUCCUAGAGCCUGUGACCUUGCUUGGGAACCAGGAACACAGGCUGCUGAGGGCCAGAUGCCAUCCCCCGAGGCACCCUGGGAACAGAUGAUGCAAAGGAACCCAAGUCCUGAAGGCGCCACCUGGGGACAGAAGAUGGGAGACGGUUCUCCCCCACCAUACACACCCUGGUGCUGUGUAACCCGGGAUUAGGACAUUCAGCAAGGACAGCUUGUGUUCUCCACCAGCCAGGAAGAUCUGGAGCCAGGAGCCAGCAAGUAAUUAACCACUUCAAUCAAGUAACUUUUCUUUGCCCACUUGAGUUGGUGAGAGAAAAAAAUUAGAAGGCAAAAUUAAUAAUUUAUCAAGUUAUCUUAUUCCUCAUGCCGAAUGUCACCCAUCCAUUCAAAUGUCUAUCUUUUGUGGUCAUCUUCACCAUUAUUCACAGUCUUUGCUUUUAAUGAAUGAACUCAUUGAUCCAUCUGUUCUUUCAUCCAUUCAUUAAAACCAAGCACUUACUACCUGCCUGUGAUGAGGACUUGGGAUAAAAACAAGCAAACCACCAAAAAAUAAAAAUAAAAAAUGAGAAAGCACCCCAGCCUUGGUUGAAUCCACAGCCAGGGGGAGGAGAAAGUAUGAUCCUCAGAAACAGACUCAUCUCAUCCAUAGGUAGACACAUCCUAAAUCAUGACCAUUCUGCUUCUUCAUUUAGAAGUUACUUAUUUAUUAGCAUCUCAAUGUGAUGGGAGCGAACUGGGCUUCCCUGGU
ensembl:lncRNA